UACAGAGGUCUCAAGCGUUGUUCGGAUUCAUUGGGCGUAAAGAGCUCGUAGGCGGUUUGUCGCGUCUGCUGUGAAAGACCGGGGCUCAACUCCGGUUCUGCAGUGGGUACGGGCAGACUAGAGUGAUGUAGGGGAGACUGGAAUUCCUGGUGUAGCGGUGAAAUGCGCAGAUAUCAGGAGGAACACCGAUGGCGAAGGCAGGUCUCUGGGCAUUAACUGACGCUGAGGAGCGAAAGCAUGGGGAGCGAACAGG
rnacentral:rRNA from 1 species